rnacentral:rRNA from 1 species
GAUGAACGCUGGCGGCGUGCCUAAUACAUGCAAGUCGAGCGAACGGACGAGAAUCUUUCUUCUCUUAUGUUAGCGGCGGAUGGGUGAGUAACACGUGGAUAACCUACCUAUAAGACUGGGAUAACUUCGGGAAACCGGAUCUAAUACCGGUUAAUAUUUUGAACCGCAUGGUUCAAAAGUGAAAGACGUUCUUGCUGUCACUUAUAGAUGGAUCCUCGCUGCAUUAGCUAGUUGGUAAGGUAACGGCUUACCAAGGCUACGAUGCAUAGCCGACCUGAGAGGGUGAUCAGCCACACUGGAACUGAGACACGGUCCAGACUCCUACGGGAGGCAGCAGUGGGGAAUAUUCCACAAUGGGCGAAAGCCUGACGGAGCAACGCCGCGUGAGUGAUGAAGGUCUUCGGAUCGUAAAACUCUGUUAUUAGGGAAGAACAUAUGUGUAAGUAAAUGUGCACAUCUUGACGGUACCAAAACAGAAAGCAACGGCUAACUACGUG